UGCAUAGAGAUAUAAGAAUCUUAUAUCUGUACGAUUAAGUCAGUCUUGUGCGCUUGUGAUUGUUUGUUACAUUCAUUGCUGUUUACAAAGUGAUAGUUUGUUAAAAAUGACAAGUAGUUUAUUAAACAUAGUGCAAUUUGCAAAACAAUGCGAAAGAUCUUCCAUUUCAUUUUGGCGUCAAUUUUCUGUGGCAACAAAUUUAAAACAAAUAAAUGAUAAUUCUAAGCCAAAAACAGGUGUUUUAAUGUUGAAUAUGGGUGGACCUGGUAGUCUCGAAGAGGUCCAUGAAUACUUAUUACGUAUAAUGACUGAUCGUGAUAUGAUUCAGUUACCAUUUCAAAGUCGUUUAGGUCCGUGGAUUGCAAAAUCUCGUACACCUAAGGUGCAGAAAAAAUAUGCAGAAAUUGGUGGUAAAUCUCCUAUUUUAGAGUGGACAAAUAAACAGGGUAAACUUUUGUGUGAGAAAUUGGAUAAAAUUUCACCAGAAACUGCACCCCAUAAACAUUAUGUUGCGUUUCGUUAUGCAAAUCCUCUUACUGAAAAUACGCUUCAACAAAUACAGCAAGAUGGUGUUCAGCAUACAAUAUUAUUUUCUCAAUAUCCACAAUAUUCUUGUGCUACAAGUGGAUCAAGUUUUAUCGAGAUAUAUAAAUAUUAUACAAAAAGGCAGCCUCCAAGUAAUAUGAAAUGGAGUAUAAUAGAUAGAUGGGCAAUACACCCAUUGUUUAUACGGACAAUUACUGAAAGAAUUAAAGAAGAAUUAGCUCAGUUUCCUGAAAAUAUUAGAAAUGACGUUAUAAUUUUAUUUUCUGCCCAUUCACUGCCAUUAAAGGCAGUAUGUCGGGGAGAUCCUUAUGCAUCUGAAGUGGCAAGCACAGUUGCUCUAGUAAUGGAACAAUUACAGUAUUGUAAUCCAUACAAAUUAGUAUGGCAAUCAAAGGUUGGACCUGUAUCUUGGUUGGCGCCCUUUACCGACGAUGCUAUCAAAGCUUAUGUUAAGCAGGGGAAAAAGCAUUUUAUCUUAGUACCGGUAGCAUUUGUUAAUGAACAUAUUGAAACUCUUCACGAGCUGGAUAUUGAAUAUUGUAAAGAGUUAGCGGAAGAAUGAAACAUUUAAAGGCUCUUCUCUUUUUAAUUUCCAUAUAAAAACUAACAUUAGUGAUUGAAAUUGGCAAAUUAUAAGGAUUGACUCAAUUGAAAACUAUUGAGACAAUAGUACAAGGAAAGACCCCUACUUGGAAUUGAAAGAAUAAGAAGAACUGCAGCACCAAAUGAUCAUCCCAUAUUCAUAGAAGCUUUGGCAGAUAUUGUUCAUUCACAUCUCAAAUCAAAUAAACCUAUAAGCUCUAUGUUUCUAACACGUUG